AAUGUAUUGAAAACAUUGACUACUAAAAGGCAAACUGCGUUGGAUAAUCCAGAACCUUGGAUAAGCGAGACUCUACUGUAGUUCAAUAUGCAGUAAUGCUACGUAGUAAUUACUGUAUUUACAAAUUUAGCACCAAAACAUUACAAUGUAUUGAAAACAUUGACUACUAAAAGGCAGACUGUAUUGGAUAAUCCAGAACCUUGGAUAAGCGAGGCUUGGAUAAGUGAGAUAAGUGUGUGUGUGUGUGCAUUUUGAUCAUUUUUAUUAUUAUUACGGCCAACGUGCACAGGACCAAGAUAGAUGGAAAUGUAGGGAGAGUUUCAAAAGAGGGAAAGGGGGCGUGGCUUGGGCCAGAGCGAGGGCCCUGAUUGGCCCAGAGGGAUGCAGCUGCCAAAGCAGGGAUGCUCAGGGAUUAGCGGUCCAAGCCAUUGCCUUGCAUUGCAUUGCCGGCCCUUCGCUCUCAUUGCCUUCCUGCUUUUUUGCAUCUCCGUCUCAUGGAAGGCUCCCGGCAGCAUGAGUUCCGCCGGAAUCCAUCAAGGCUACCUCCGGAAGUAUGGCGGCUUCCUCUUUAAGCAGUGGAAGGAGAAGUUCCUGCUGCUCUCGGUGGACGGGAGCCUGCUGGUGUGUCCGGACGCGCACUCCCCGGCCGAGAUGGGCAUCGCCUUGGGCAGCGGCUGCCAGGACAUCCUGGAGGGCGGCCAGAUCCGGGACCUGCCGCCCCUCCCGCUGGGCGCCCAGAGGGACAGCUGCCUGGGCCUGCGCCUCCGCCGGGGGAAGGUCCUGCUCCUCCUGGCCCCCGACCGGCAGCAGUGCACACAGUGGCUCAACAUACUGAGGAAAGUCAAAGAGGGUUUCUCUUUCGGCUCUCCUUCUCGUUGCAAACUCCACAUCGACUCCCCAGGAAGGAAAAGCUGCCGGAAAGAAGGGAGCCUCGGGGAGAGCGGAGGCAGCAAUGGGGGGUCUCCCAGCAGAGAAGGGUCGGGCUCCGUUCCCUGCUCCCCGCACUGCUUGCGCCACGGGCCCUGCUCCCGGCCAGGGGUCAAGGCGGCCUGCAUCCUGGUGGGGGGCGCAGCGGCCGGCCCUUCCAUGGGCUACAUGGUCACUUCGGCCGGCGCCGGCCACCCGGCUGAGUCCCACCUGCCAGACUUCAAGGAGCUUGGCUACCACCCUUCUGCUUGUGACGCUGUGGCCGAGGCGCACUACGAAUCCCUGGACUGCGAGGGGCUGGAUCAUGACUUCGAUAGCAUGCUGGACUUUGGGGGGUUCGCCUUCUAGUUAAUGCGGUUCGAUGCCACUUGGGCCGAUACGGGAUCUUGUGACUUGUAGUUUCCCCAAGGUCUUGAGCCUCCUUUGCCAAAGAGUGCUGAGCUACAACUCCAGUGUCAAACCGCAUUAAGUCGAUAGUGUAGAUGCUCCCUCGGUUGGGAGGAACGCAAAGGGCUCAAUGGCUCCAGAUGCCUGGCAUCAAAAGGUGCCGGUCUUCUUCCAUGUUUGUUUUAUUGUGCAUUUUUUGUUGUCUUCAUUGUCGGUGGGAUCAAGGGCUGGGCAAUUUUGUUGUCUUUUUCCUCCGUGUUUUGCAUUCAAUAAAGUCUUUUCAUGGACUAUAACUUCAUGGGAAUGAGCCUCACAAGCGACUGGCCUCACACAUUAGGAUGCAAAAAAUAAAUACAGUAGA
rnacentral:lncRNA from 11 species